GAUGAACGCUGGCGGCGUGCCUAAUACAUGCAAGUCGAGCGAACAGACGAGGAGCUUGCUCCUCUGACGUUAGCGGCGGACGGGUGAGUAACACGUGGAUAACCUACCUAUAAGACUGGGAUAACUUCGGGAAACCGGAGCUAAUACCGGAUAACAUGUUGAACCGCAUGGUUCAACAGUGAAAGACGGUCUUGCUGUCACUUAUAGAUGGAUCCGCGCCGCAUUAGCUAGUUGGUAAGGUAACGGCUUACCAAGGCAACGAUGCGUAGCCGACCUGAGAGGGUGAUCGGCCACACUGGAACUGAGACACGGUCCAGACUCCUACGGGAGGCAGCAGUAGGGAAUCUUCCGCAAUGGGCGAAAGCCUGACGGAGCCACGCCGCGUGAGUGAAGAAGGUCUUCGGAUCGUAAAACUCUGUUAUUAGGGAAGAACAAAUGUGUAAGUAACUAUGCACGUCUUGACGGUACCUAAUCAGAAAGCCACGGCUAACUACGUG
rnacentral:rRNA from 1 species